UUAGACUGCGCGUAAAAAUAGCAACUGAGUAUUACAUUUACCGAUUAUAAAUGUUGAUUUUUAAUCAUUUAAACUUGUUUUGUUAAUUAUCAAGAAUGUCCACCAAAUCAAUAACAGAAGUACAAAUAGAAACUGCUGAAACUUUAGAAAAUAUUGCAAUCAUGUCCGAAAAAAUCAAACAAGAAUUCAGAAUAAUAAAAGAAAUAAUAAAGGAGGAUGGGCCUUUGAACAAUUCAAUAAAUAAUUGCAACCUGACUUUCUGUCACAUUCU